GACCUCGAAUCAGGUAGGACUA
rnacentral:rRNA from 1 species